rnacentral:rRNA from 1 species
GUGCCAGCAGCCGCGGUAAUUCCAGCUCCAAUAGCGUAUAUUAAAGUUGUUGUGGUUAAAAAGCUCGUAGUUGAACCUUGGGCCUGGCUGGCCGGUCCGCCUCACCGCGUGCACUGGUCCGGCCGGGCCUUUCCCUCUGUGGAACCCCAUACCCUUCACUGGGCGUGGCGGGGAAACAGGACAUUUACUUUGAAAAAAUUAGAGUGCUCCAGGCAGGCCUAUGCUCGAAUACAUUAGCAUGGAAUAAUAAAAUAGGAUGCGCGGUUCUAUUUUGUUGGUUUAUAGGACCGCCGUAAUGAUUAAUAGGGACAGUCGGGGGCAUCAGUAUUCAACUGUCAGAGGUGGAAUUCUUGGAUCAGUUGAAGACUAACUACUGCGAAAGCAUUUGCCAAGGAUGUUUUCAUUAAUCAGGAACGAAAGUUAGGGGAUCGAAGACGAUCAGAUACCGUCGUAGUCUUAACCAUAAACUAUGCCGACUAGGGAUCGGACGGUGUUAUUCAUGACCCGUUCGGCACCUUACGAGAAAUCAAAGUGCUUGGGCUCCAGGGGGAGUAUGGUCGCAGGGCUGAAACUUAAAGAAAUUGACGGAAGGGCACCACCAGGGGUGGAGCCUGCGGCUUAAUUUGACUCAACACGGGGAAACUCACCAGGUCCAGACACAAUAAGGAUUGACAGAUUGAGAGCUCUUUCUUGAUUUUGUGGGUGGUGGUGCAUGGCCGUUCUUAGUUGGUGGGGUGACUUGUCUGCUUAAUGCGAUAACGAACGAGACCUUAGCUGCUAAAUAGCCCGCAUUGCUCCGGCAGUGCGCUGCUUCUUAGAGGGACUUUCGGCUCAA